AUUGUUGUUAUUGUGUUAUUAUUUAGAAAUUUAAUUCAAUUUUUGGGGGUGUAUUUCUUGAUUAUUUGUAUGUUAUUUUUAGAAAAAUAAUAAUUAAAAAAUUAAGAUUUUAUUUAUAUAAAAAUAUUAGAAAUAAUAAAAAUCAAAGAUUUCUAAUUAAUUAGAGAUUAUGGGUAAGAUCAAUUGAUGAAAUAAAAGGGAAAUGGAUAGAAUAAAA
rnacentral:lncRNA from 1 species